rnacentral:rRNA from 1 species
CCCUUAGAUGUUCUGGGCUGCACGCGCGCUACACAGAUGCACUCAACGAGUUUACGACCUUGCCCGAUAGGGUUGGGUAAUCUUUUUAAAAUGCAUCGUGAUGGGGAUAGAUUAUUGCAAUUAUUAAUCUUCAACGAGGAAUUCCUAGUAAGCGCGAGUCAUCAGCUCGUGCUGAUUACGUCCCUGCCCUUUGUACACACCGCCCGUCGCUCCUACCGAUUGAGUGCUCAGGUGAAUAAUUCGGACUGCAGCAAUGUUUGGAUCCCGAACGUUGCAGCGGAAAGUUUAGUGAACCUUAUCACUUAGAGGAAGGAGAAGUCGUAACA